GACAUAGGUGGCGAACGUUAUCCGGAAUUAUUGGGCGUAAAGGAUGCGUAGAUGGUAGAAUAAGUUACUGGUCGAUGCCAAACUCAAUUUGACGGAAGCUGGUAAUACUGUCAGGCUCGAGUGCAGGAGAGGUUAACGGAACUCCAUGUGGAGCGGUAAAAUGUGUAGAUAUAUGGAAGAACAUCAAUAUAGCGAAGGCAGUUAACUAUUCUGCUACCGACAUUGAGGCAUGAAAGCGUGGGGAGCAAAACGG
rnacentral:rRNA from 1 species